UACGUAUGGGGCAAGCGUUAUCCGGAUUCAUUGGGCGUAAAGAGCGCGUAGGCGGAUUGUUAAGUCAGAUGUGAAAUCCGGGGGCUCAACCCGCGGUCUGCAUCUGAAACUGGCAGUCUUGAGUCUGGUAGAGGAAAGUGGAAUUCCCAGUGUAGCGGUGAAAUGCGCAGAUAUUGGGAGGAACACCAGUGGCGAAGGCGGCUUUCUGGGCCACGACUGACGCUGAGGCGCGAAAGCUAGGGGAGCAAACAGG
rnacentral:rRNA from 1 species